rnacentral:rRNA from 1 species
UACGGAGGGUGCAAGCGUUAUCCGGAUUCACUGGGUUUAAAGGGUGCGUAGGCGGGCAGGUAAGUCAGUGGUGAAAUCUCCGAGCUUAACUCGGAAACUGCCGUUGAUACUAUUUGUCUUGAAUAUUGUGGAGGUAAGCGGAAUAUGUCAUGUAGCGGUGAAAUGCUUAGAUAUGACAUAGAACACCAAUUGCGAAGGCAGCUUACUACACAACGAUUGACGCUGAGGCACGAAAGCGUGGGGGAUCAAACAGG